rnacentral:rRNA from 1 species
AGAAUCAACGCUGGCGGCGUGCCUAACACAUGCAAGUCGAACGAGAAAGUGGAGCAAUCCAUGAGUACAGUGGCGUACGGGUGAGUAACACGUGACUAACCUACCCUCGAGUGGGGAAUAACCUCGGGAAACCGGGGCUAAUACCGCAUAACAUCUUCGGAUCAAAUGCGUAAGCAGCUUGAGGAGGGGGUCGCGGCCGAUUAGCUAGUUGGCGGGGUAAUGGCCCACCAAGGCAAUGAUCGGUAGCCGGCCUGAGAGGGCGCACGGCCACACUGGAACUGAAACACGGUCCAGACUCCUACGGGAGGCAGCAGUGGGGAAUUUGCGCAAUGGGGGAAACCCUGACGCAGCAACGCCGCGUGGAGGAUGAAGCCCUUUGGGGCGUAAACUCCUUCGAUCGGGACGAUUAUGACGGUACCGGAAGAAGAGCACCGGCUAACUCUGCGCCAGCAGCCGC